ensembl:lncRNA MIR100HG mir-100-let-7a-2-mir-125b-1 cluster host gene
ACCUCGCCCAGCCUAGCGCACUGAGAGCUCUCAUUUUCCCCCCUUGCUCGGGAUGGUGCCACAGGAGGCUGUGCGGGCCCCGCUCCGCUUCGAAUGGAUACAGUUAAGCUAAUGAUCUCGAGAGGAUAUCGUCCUGGAUAAGGGUGGAGCCUACGCCCAAAAACAAGAUUACCUGAAAGAGAAAAGAAAGGGGGAAAACACACAGAGAUACAGUCGGGGAGGCCACAUGAAGAUGGAGGCAGAGACAGGAGUGAUGAGCCUGCAAGCCAAGGAAUGCCAAGGGCUGCCAGCAGCCAUGAGAAGCUGAGAGACACAGAGAACGAGUCCUCUGCCAGAGCCUCCAGAAGGAACUAACCCUGUCAAUACCUUGAUUUCGGACUUCUGGACUCCAGAACUGUGAGAGAAUAUAUUUCUGUUGUUUUAAGCCAUUCAGUUUGUAGUAAUUGGUUACAAUAGCCAUGGGAAGCUAACAUAGGGUCCUUCAACAAUCAAAGCAAAAAAGAGGACCUAUUAGCACAUGGAGUGCAAAGGAGGAAGGAAUGACUGAGCUGUUUGAAAGUGCAGCGGGAUGUCAUGGGCAACCAGAACUCAGGUCCAAAUUCUGCCAGAACUCUCCCUCUGUGUUAGUCUAUUCUCACACUGCUAAUAAAGACAUACCUGAGACUGGCUGAUUUAUAAAGGAAAGAGGUUCAAUUGACUCACAGUUCUGCAGGGCUGCGGGGGGGACUCAGGAAACUUACAAUCAUGACAAAAGUGGAAGCAAACACAUCCUUCUUCACAUGGCAGCAAGGAGAAGUGCCGAGCCAAAGGAGGAAAAGCCCCUUAUAAAACCAUCAGAUUUCAUGAGAACUCACUCACUAUCAUGAGCACAGCAGCAUGGGGAUAACUGCCCCCACGAUUCAAUUACCUCCCACCAGGUCCCUACCAAGACACGUGGAGAUUAUGGGAAUUACAAUUCAAAAUGAGAUUUGGGUGGGGACACAGCCAAACCAUAUCGGUCUCUUUCCUCUCUGCUUCACUGUCAUUGAAAACUGGCAUUCUUCACUUGGCAGCAAACAUUGCUGCUAACAUCUUUUGAGUUUUUUAUUGUAUGGCUUCAAUCAUCUCAGACAUACUAACUUCCUUUCAUAUUUCCAAAUUAUCUGAAAGAAUCUUACUUUCCUAAUUUGGGUCAUGUCUCACCCUGAACUAACCAACAGAGGCUAAGCUGCCAGGAUCUUAUAAAAUAUGACAGCUCCUAAGGAAACCACUUGAAUGAGUGGAGGUGCUGGGCACCCAGGAGUCCAUCACAUGGGAUCUUUUCUGUCUGUGAUAUGAUAGCCAUUUUUUUAAGGACAACAGUGUGGCAUUUGCAAAGACAUUUGUUUUGUGGACAAGACAUGCAAGUGAAUCUGAGCUCUGCCAUUUACUGGAAGUGUGACAUUAGCAAGUCACUUGGCCUUUCUGAGCUUUCUUAUCUUGUAAAAAAUGAGGAUAGAUUGUUUGAUAAACACUCUACACCUAGAAGGAUCUCAAUAAUGUUUGUUAAUAAUGGUCAUAGAAGUAUAGAACUUAAAUGGACCUUAAAGACAGACAAGGUUAAUCACCUUAUUUUUGCAGAUGAGAUUUCAGAAUUUAAGUUGGUGAGAAAACCAGGACAAGAAUUUAGGUUACUUAACUACCAGAUUAGUGUUUCUUUGUUAUUUUAUAUGAUCUGCCCCCAUCCCUGUGGAUAUAAAAUAAGGUCUCAUCUGAAAGGUGUUAUUCAACUAAAGAAAAAGCAGCUUUCUUAGAACAGACACUGAUAUUAGGCUUUAGAUUAGAUAUUAACACAGGGAUAAAGGUGUCAAAAAAGAAAGACCAAAGAAUUGUGUUGGGAGUUAAAACGUGAAGGACACAGUCAAGUGCCUGCAAAAUCUUGCCAUUUUUGAGCCUAUAAACAGUAAUUACUUUGAGACAGCAUUCACACAAAUAAACUAUGAUGGGUUCAGACCCCUCUGAUUAUUAAGCCAUCUUGUUUACAUCCCUCUAUCCUGUGUUUCUUUUCCUUUGGCUAUCCUUAUUAUAUAAAUAAAAACAGUUAGGAAGAGCCUAUUUGCGUCAGUUUGACAAUGAGAAAAUCAGGAGAAAGGUUUUUCCUUCUUUGGGCCAAGCUUUGGUCCUUGUAAGAACAAUUGCUAAUAUGUCUAGUGACUAUAGUUCUGAUCAUUUUUAUGCUUAUAAAAGCCUGAUGCUGAAUGCCUAUGUUUUAAAAUUUUUAUAAGAUCAACUUUGCUUUCAGAUAACCCUCCUUCCUCCACCUCACAAAAACUCACAAGCUGCAACCCUUCUGAUGUCCACUCCCACACAAACCAGCUUCAGGCCUUUUUCAAGGUAAAGUGCCAUAUUUAUUGUAGCAUUUAUGAACUUCCUAAUCGCAUAACAUGUGUAAAACUGCACUAGUGUUUUUAUUAGGCUCCUACAUAUUUUUAUGUGUCACUGAUGAAGUGUUUGAAUGUUUUGCCCAGUCUCAUUUUUGUGCUAAACCUUAUGAUGUGACUUUUAUUGCAUGAUUUUAUGUGGCAAUGGCGAUUUUUAGGAAUGCAUAUUUCAUAUUAGGGUAGAAUUGACUGUAUCUUGUUGGGAUAUGGGUUAUGUAAGCAAAUUCAAUAGCCAAAUAUAAUCAUACUGUAACCCCUAAAAUCUGCAUUUUGCAACAGGUAAAUGAUAACUCAAUAAUAAUUAAAUCAAUAUUAAUAAUUUCUUUCUGCUUAAGGUUUACAUCUUAACUGUAUAUUUGCCCAUGAUUGCUUAUGCAUUUCAUUUUACUUCUCGGUGAGUAGCAAACUACUCACAGUUCCCUGGAUGUGCCAAGUUCUCUUAUGGCUCUUAGAACUCAACGUUACUUUUAUUAAAUUCUCACUUUCCGUCUUUGCCAGAUUAAUUUCUACUAAUCAUUUAGACUUUGGUUAAAAUAUCACUUCUUUCAGGAAGUCUUCCUGGCUAUUAUUUCCUCCUCAGUUUGGUUAAAUGCCUCUUAUACGUGCUCUCACAGCAUUUUGUGCUUAGCUUUAUCAUAGUUUUUGCUACAUUUGGAAGGAAUUAUUUGUCAUUGCUUUUAGAUCCCAACUUUCAAGUUAAGAGCUAUGCAUUUUAAUCCCAAAUCUCCAUGCCUAGGUCAGUGCUGGCAUGAAACAGACUCACAGAGUAAUAUUAUCUGAAAAUUAUCUAAAUAAAUUAAUGAAGAUACUAUUUCUUGAGCUAGUUUAUUAGUUUCCUAUUUCUAAUUAACAAAAAUGAACACAAGUUUAGUGGAUUAAAACAACAGAAACUUAUUAUCUUACAGUUCUAGAGGUCAGAAUUCUGACAUGGAUCUCACUGGGCUGAAAUCAAGCUGUUGGCAUGGCUCCAUUUCUUCUGGAAACUCUAGUGAGAAAUUCAUUUUCUUGCCCUUUUCAGCGUCUAGAGGCCACACCUUGUUCAGAAUUAAUAGAUCAUAUAGGUGUAAAUUUAUUUUCAACUUUCAGUUCUUGUCUGGUGGAAGAAGGUGGGUUAUCUGAAAUGAGACAGAGUAACACCAGAUGAGGUUGUGUUUGACUCAUAAUACACGGGUGGAUGUGGGUGAACUGAGCAGCUGGUAGAUGUUUGCGGUGUGUUUGUGUGGUUCAUUAAUCUAUUCGUUCAUCUUUACAGCAAUACCACACUUUUCCAAUUUCUAUACUUUUUUUGUUUUUAUGAUAUUGUAAAUGGUAUGUUUAUAGUUUCAUUUUUCAAGUUUUGAUUGCUAGUAUGCAGUAAAGCAAUUGACUUUUGUAUGUAAACAUUGUAUUCUGUGAUAAUACUAAAUCAGCUUAUUAGGAUUUUUUUAAAGACUCCUUAGAAUUUUCUAUAUAUUAUGUCACCAGUAAUUCAAAAGAGUUUUGCUCUUUUCUUUUCGGUCCUUAUGCAUUUUGUUUAUUUAUAUUGUCCUAUUUUACUGGCUGGGGACCUCUAGUACAAGGAUGAAUAAGAGUGCUAAGAAUGGACAUCCUUGCUUUGUUUCCUAAGGGAAAAGCAUUCAGUAUUUUAUAAUUAAAUAUAGUAUUAUUUCUAUUUGUAAAAAAUAAGUGGACUUUAUCAGAUUGAGAAAAUUUUCUUUUAUAUCUAAUUUUCUGGUGGUUACUAUUAUUGUUACUGCUAUCAUUAUAGUUGGCUGUUGAAUUUCAUCAAAUGCUUUUUCUUCAACUAAUGAGAUAAUCAAGUGAUUUUUCAUUAUUUUAUCCUGCCAAUAUGUUUACUAACAUUCAUUUUAUUUUGAGUGUUAAAACAGCUUUGGAUUUCUGGUAUAAUCCCACUAGGUCAUGAUGUAUUCGCCUUUUUAUGUAUUCCUGGAUUUGGGCUGAUCAUAUUUUCUUGAGGACUUCUGUAUCUGUGUUAUUGAAAGGUAUUAAUCUGUACCUUUCUUUUUUUGUAAUGUAUGUGAAUGGCUUGGUAUCAAGUUAACACUGGCCUCAUAAAAUGAAUUGGGAAGUGUUCCUUUCUUUUAUAUUUUUGAAAGAGUUUAAAUGCAAUUUGUAUUAUUUCUUUCUUAAUUGAU